AGAGGCUCUGCCUACCCCAGGGCCUUUGCUCUUGCUGCUCCCUCUGCCCUGGAGUACUCUUCCCCAGCAGAACAUCCUGCCUCCUUCAGAUCUGCACUCAGAGGCCUCAUCCUCUGUCCACCCUUAUUUAGGAAGCAGCUCCUUCCCUAUACUUCCUCUCCCUCUACCUAGCUUUAUUUUCCUCCAGAGCGCUUAUCACUGCCUUCUCGGUGCCUCUGCCUGCACCUGGACCUUCAGUGCCACAGGGAGGGGCUCUGUGUUCCAGCCCUGAGCAGUGUCCAGAGCCCCCUGGGGCCUGAGGCCAGAAAGCAGCAUUUCCAGGAAUGGUCCUGGUAUCCACCGGAACAACAGGAAUUACUGGUUGGAUCCUGCCACUCUCCAGGAAACCCCUCCCCAGAGAGUUGGCAGAUCUGGUCUAUCAAGCGCUUUUGCUUUCACUUGCACGCAAAAAUCGAAAGAAAAACGAUGAUGCCAGAGGAAGGCAGGACCCUCCAUCUCUCUGUGACCCAGUGGGAAGCUCCUCGCCCGAGGCCAUCAAGACAGGCUCAGCAUGGAGCUGCAGAGCUGAACCCUUCUGAAGUCUCCACGUCCACUGGAUCCAGGCUACCUCCUUCCAGAAUGUUCUGGCCAUGUCUGUUGUGCCUGGUGAGAGCUCCCUGCAACACUAAGCCCUGAAGAACCCAUGUGUCCGAGGGAGGGCAGGACCCAGAUGGGAGUGAGGGUUCUGGGGAAGGAUGUCAGAGCUGGGGACAGAACUGUCACCAAAGAUGGAAGACACGUUUUGCUGUGGACUAAGAGCAGCAGAGGAUGAAAAGCUAACAGGCCAGGAGUAAGAAGGGAUGGCUGAAGAAAAGGUCUGGAAGAGGCAAAACCAUUAGGAUCAGAACUAGGGUCUGCUGGAAAGGAAGGAGGUGAGACCAGGCAUGUACUUGUCUGCUACAGGGUGACAGGGCCACCGCUGUCCCCUGGAAAGUGCAGACUUCUGCAGCAGGAAGUGCGGAAUAUGCUGGCCCUAAGAGGCUGACCGGAUAUUCGCACAGUGGCUCCUGGGAACCCUGAAGGGGACAGGGGUCUGGGCAUGGACGAGGAGCCAUGUCAUGGUGGCAUAAGUCUGUCAUCCUACCACUCAAGGGGCUAAGGCAGGAAGAUUGCUGCAAGUUCAAAGCCAGCCUGGGUACAUAGUGAGUUCAAGGCCAGCCUGAACUACAUAGUGAGACCCUGUCUCAAAAACCAAAAGAUUCCCCAAUCUCCAGAAUUCCCCAGGCUGAAGACAGUUUGCACAAGAAGGGCCUGGUGAGGGUUGCUGUCCCUGCUCCCCUCCCUGUAGAACAUCCAGUUGGUUAAAGCCAAACUGAGCUCCCAACAGGAGGGACAUAGGACCAGCUGCCCCGGGCUUCUGUGCAGAGUUAGGCAUGACACAGCUGAAGGGUGUCUAUAUUCUGGGAACUCUUCCUAGUCCCCAAGUCCAAUGUUUCUCUGUCACAGAAGCAGAGAGAAGACCUGAGAGUCAAUGUGGGCUUCUGCUCACGCUCAGUAUUCAUGGAGCAUGGUGACAUCUUGGUGGCCUAAGCGCUAGGAGAUGCAGAGGCCUCAUGCCAGGGAGCUGACCCUAGCCACCAUGACAGCUGGACAGAGGGGACAUUGAGACUCAAGUCCCCAGAACAUUCCAGGGACACCUUGAGGAAGGGUGUAGUGCCAGGGCCAUGUCAGGAGAGCCCUCCGGGCAGUCACCAGAGCUCUGGCUUCCUGAGUGCUAGGGUGCUGAACCGGGGCAGGCUCGGCAUGUGGAAGUGACUCAGUCACUUGUGACAGCUGUCAUACUGUCGAGUGUCCUAGGUGACCCAGGUGUGGUCAGAGUGAGAUUUACUGCACAAUGGUCAGGUGUGGGGUGUGGGUGUGGGGUGCAGGUACAAGCAGAGAGGAAUUGUGGGGCCCCAAGGGUCGGCUGUGGCAGGAUGUGGGUGCAUGGGGCCUAUUUGUUCUACUUUUCUGUUUUUUGGUACCGGGAUCAAACUCGGGACCUUGCGCUUACAAGGCAGGCGCUGGAACCACUGAGCUAAAUCCCUGGCCCCUGGCCACUCAUGUUAAUCUCAACACUCUAAGAUUACUUCUUCCCUAAUAAUAACUGACACUUUACAUUUGCUUCUAUGGUCUUUUUUCAUUUAGCACUAUAUUCUUGAUCACCUUCCUCCUCCUCGUUUUUCUUCUUGAGAUAGGGUUUUGCUAUGUAGCCCAGGCUGACCUCAAACUUUUGACCCUCCUACCUCAGCCUCUUGUAUGAUUACAGAUGUGUGCUCCACGCCCUACUUUCUUCUGUCAUUUUUGAGUACGAUAAAACAUCCCACAGUGUGGGUGGAAUGUAACUCAUGCAGCACUGACGUCUUUUCCAAUUGUUUCACUAUCAUGACCGUUACUAUACUAAGUCCUGAGAUGAUAAAUCUUUCCUCGCUAUCCAACUUCCUCCAGUCAAUUAUUUGGGGGAAGAGUUUGCACAUUUUUGAGUCAUCUUCUUGAUCUUGCCAAACUGCCCUUGAGGGGUCACAUGGACCCAUGUACUGGUCUCCUUGCCCUGCCAGCCCCAGACAGGCCUGAUCCUUCCCACUCACACUGCAUGCCAGGACUCCAUGCCAGGUCGCUAGGUGCAGGGACCUGUUUCAGACACCUCUGUCAUUGCCUAGGCAGUCUUAUCUCCUUCGUCCUGCCACUCCAAAGGCCUGAGCAGCAGCUGCUCGAGACACUGAAGAGCAGUUCAGAGGGUGAGGAAGCGGGUUCCCCAGAGUGCUGCUGAGCAGCCUUCAGCCCCCUCUUCCUCCUGCAGUGCCUGUGAGUGGCCAUAGGACUUGCUCAAGGCUCAGCCCCCACUGGGGCCCAGGACAGAAGCCAGGGUAGCCACCACAGGGGUCACCUUCCAGACACAAAUUUCCCUCUUCCCACUGGCCUCAUGUUGGGUGGUUUGUUCUAGUAUUUCUUUUCCUUUUGCUUGCUUGGUUUUUCAAGGGACAAGUUCUCGUUAUGUAGCCCAGGCUGGCCUAGAACUCUCAGCGAUCCUCUUGCCUCAGCCUCCUGAGUACUUACAGGGGUACACUACCAUACCUGGCUUAGUUGAUCUCAUUUGUGAAGGUUAAGCUCUUAGAUCUACAGCGGAAGUCCACCAUCAGCAGGCGGGGACUGGGUGUGCAGGCACCAGUGUCAGUGGGAGCUUCUCCUUUAUCCUUCCUGAGUUGAGCAGUCCAUGGUUGUGACAGCCCCUCACACAACAACCCGCCCCCCUUCCUGGAGGUAGUCUGGGCACAGAGCCCAGUGGGGCAGCCACCAGCAUGGCCAGAACGGGGUGGCCAGCUCCUGUGACAAUGCCACAACCGCAGGGGACAUGGAGGGGCAGCACCACCCAGAGACCAUGUUGUGCACAGUGGGGCUGAGGAAGAGAACUGGAAGCUGUUAGGACAUGGUCUGGAAGGGCUACCAAACACGGCACAGCCGAGGGAAAACAGGAGGGGGGGUUGUGCAUGCGUGAGCACAGAGACAACAGGAGGGCAGCUCGGGCCAGGCUGGGGUGAGUUUCUGUGUUUAUUUCUUUUCAUCCCUUGAAUGCUUUAUCCAUUUAGGAAAUAGAAUAAAAUUUCUACAUAAACAACCCUCAUUCUGAUGAGGAAGCCUCUCCCCUCAAAAAGCUCCUGGUCCAGCCUGGUGUUGACUAGGGAGGCUGAAGCAGGAGAGUCCCUGUGAGUUUAUGGCCAGCCUGGGCUACACAGUGAGACCCCAUCUUAAAUAAAUAAAUAAAUAAAUAAAUAAAUAAAUAAAUAAAUAAAGUUUUUAAAAUCCCCAAAGCUCCUGGCCCGAGGCAGAAGCCGGUGGAGGCGUCUGUCCCAAGGGCAGAUGAAAGACAUCCUGCUUCAUUCACUCUGUAGCACUGAAGGCCACUUCUGCUGGGCCCUGGACCAGCACAGACCCUGCAAAGACACAGGUCCCCCACACUGCAGUCCCCAUGGCUGGCAGAGGAACAAGCAGUGUUACA